CUGGCUCAGAACGAACGCUGGCGGCAGGCCUAACACAUGCAAGUCGAGCGAGAUCUUCGGAUCUAGCGGCGGACGGGUGAGUAACGCGUGGGAAUAUGCCCUUCUCUACGGAAUAGCCUCGGGAAACUGGGAGUAAUACCGUAUACGCCCUUAGGGGGAAAGAUUUAUCGGAGAAGGAUUAGCCCGCGUUGGAUUAGGUAGUUGGUGGGGUAAUGGCCUACCAAGCCUACGAUCCAUAGCUGGUUUGAGAGGAUGAUCAGCCACACUGGGACUGAGACACGGCCCAGACUCCUACGGGAGGCAGCAGUGGGGAAUCUUAGACAAUGGGGGCAACCCUGAUC
rnacentral:rRNA from 1 species